AUUGACCGCUGGCGGCAGGCCUACAACAUGCAAGUCGCGCGAGCGGCGGACGGGUGAGUAAUGUCUAGUAACCUGCCUGAUGGCUGGGGAUCCCUCCUGGACACGAUAGCUAAUACCGCAUACCAUACGAUGUGCCCAGAUGGGAUUAGCUAGUAGGUGGGGUAACGGCUCACCUAGGCGACGAUCCCUAGCUGGUCUGAGCGGAUGACCAGCCACACUGGAACUGAGACACGGUCCAGACUCCGACGGGAGGCAGCAGUGGGGAAUAUUGGACAAUGGGCGCAAGCCUGAUGCAGCCAUGCCGCGUGGGUGAAGAAGGUCUUCGGGUUGUAAAGCACUUUCGGUGGGGAGGCGUUACCCGCAGAAGAAGCACCGGCUAACUCCGUGCCAGCAGCCGCGGUAAUUC
rnacentral:rRNA from 1 species